rnacentral:rRNA from 1 species
AUCGAACGCUGGCGGCAGGCCUAACACAUGCAAGUCGAGCGGAUGAAGAGAGCUUGCUCUCUGAUUCAGCGGCGGACGGGUGAGUAAUGCCUAGGAAUCUGCCUGGUAGUGGGGGACAACGUUUCGAAAGGAACGCUAAUACCGCAUACGUCCUACGGGAGAAAGCAGGGGACCUUCGGGCCUUGCGCUAUCAGAUGAGCCUAGGUCGGAUUAGCUAGUAGGUGAGGUAAAGGCUCACCUAGGCGACGAUCCGUAACUGGUCUGAGAGGAUGAUCAGUCACACUGGAACUGAGACACGGUCCAGACUCCUACGGGAGGCAGCAGUGGGGAAUAUUGGACAAUGGGCGAAAGCCUGAUCCAGCCAUGCCGCGUGUGUGAAGAAGGUCUUCGGAUUGUAAAGCACUUUAAGUUGGGAGGAAGGGCAGUAAGUUAAUACCUUGCUGUUUUGACGUUACCAACAGAAUAAGCACCGGCUAACUUCGUGCCAGCCGCCGCGGUAAGAC